AGAGCUCCUAUUUCCAUUCCACUGGAGCUUAUAUUCCUUUAAAUGUCUAGCGCAGCAUCAUUUCCCCCUUUCUAAUACAUCACUCUGCUGGAAUUAGAAGAAUCCAAGGUUAUAUCCAACUUCAAAGGUUUCCAAGUCAUCAUGAUUUUAAUAAAAGGAGAAGAUAGAUCAUGGAACAAGUCCCUGGCUUUUGAAGAUAGGCAUCAUAGGGACCUUCCUCCCUCUGUCUCAUUCUCGCUCUCGCACUCUCUCCCCCCAACUUUGUACCUCUCCAGCUCUGAAUGUCCCGCGCUAGCGCGGUUUAAUGAUAUGCAAAUGAAAUAUGCAUAAAACCAUUCUACUGUAUGAUGAUUAAACACUGGAGACAUUAACCGCCGACGCUUCGCUGUUUGACUAUAAUAAUCUUUCCCGAGUAUCCACUUUGAUUGCGGAGUUAUGGAAACCCAUAGCAGUUGGCAGAGAGGGAGUAAGAGAGAGCGAAGGAAGGAGAGUGCCCUUCCCUGGCUCAGCGCCCGGUGCCAACAGAACACCUUGCAGGAUCCUCAGCAGCGCAGACAACACUCCAAGAUGCCGGCCUCGGCUUGGAACGGAGCGGUGUCAUGGCGGAGACGACGGCCUUUGUCUCGCAGGGUGUGAAAGCAUCCGUUGUGCUGGCUCCACUGCGGCAGAAUGACGUCUAAAGGGGGGAAAAAGUGCUGGAAGUCCGAGUUGUGCGGUGCUGGCGGGGGAGCCCCGUCCCCACGGUGUGCGUCCGAGGAAGGGCUUGCGGCAAAGGAGCCUGGUCUGUAAUCCUGGCACUUGUGCCUCCGGUCGCUGCCUGCCGUUUGCUCCUGGGGGUCUGGAUAAUCUCCCUUGGCUCUACGGCACUGUCUGGCCCGCGCACAGGGCCCCCGUAACAUAUACCCGCUGCCGCGAUCACAGGGAGCUGUGGCGUUGCCACUGAAUGGAUGGCACUGUGCCAACUCCGCUGCCAUCCGCCCUUGCAGCUCUUUUCCUCCCUCCUCCCUCCCGCUCUCCCCUCCUCCUCCUCCUCCCGUCGACUUGAUGUUAAUUAACACACGGGUUAAUUGAUUUUAAAAGCUGAAGAAUUACAGUUAACUUUUCCCACAGGGUACGGACGCCAGCCGCCUGGCACGGCUCUGCCUCGCGCGGGUGCAGGGGGGCAGGGAAGAGCUCACAGCAAAACCAGCCACUGCAGAGGGAUGGAUGGACGGCCGUCGACUGUUGGAGUGUGGCUGGGGCAGCUGAUGCUCCUGCCUCAUCCUCCGGACAUGUCACCACUCUAUUUUGCUAUAAACAACCAACGUGACCCCUCCCCUCGCCUCUCCCACCCACCCUCCUUUCAGGACGAGUGCUGUCGAAGUUUCAGCAGGGAAGCUGUCCCGCCCAAAGUCCCAUCAGAGUCCAGCAAUGUCUUGCACCACAGGACUGCCCAGCCCGAGCACCCUGCAUGACGACGUGGGGCAUCGGAGGGCCCCCGGCCCUCAUGGGCUCAUCCCGCCUGCCAGGGCUCAGUUCCCCUCAUCGGCUCCAACGUGUCGCUUGGGAUGAAGCAUCACAACCACGGGAAAGUUAGUUUGUUGUAAUUACGAGAGAAAUAACCCAUGUAGGGGCUUUGUUUUUUCGCUCUCCCUCUCCCCAGUGUGCUGCCGGUGAGGGUGACGGUGUGGCGGGAGGAGGCGCAGCGACGCUGGGAACUUGCUGCUUUCACCUACCCGUGCUUUCAUUUUAUUUCGUUUUUUAAAAGCAUGAAGCAAGUGAAGCGACGAGAGGAAUCCAUUAUGCAAAUCAGGUCACAUUUGCAUAAUGUCUCAUGACUGGAAUAUGCAAAUGAGUUGUAUAAUUUAUGAGUGCCAGUGUCUGUCUAAAAGUGUUUCCCAGAAUUUAUAAAAACUGCAGCAUGGGGAGGCAGCUGCCGGCUGCCCUGCCAGGAGGGUCCAUGCUUGCUUUGCAAAGUCUGCCUGAGCCCAGCAGCCCAAACACUCAGGAAUAAGAACUGACGCCCCUUCCCACCCUGUUCGUCUUGCUUUAUUUUCUGUUUCUCCCUCUGCAAAGUCCCCACCUGCUCCCCUCAAACUUCUCUGAGGGUGUGAGGCUGGGGCGCGGGGCUGGACGGCCGGGCAGUCCCGCAGGUGGCUCAGCCGAGGCUCGCUCAGGUCCCUCAGGGCUCUCCUCAGCUGCAGAGCCCCUGCGCCAUUCAGGUAAGUGAGCUCAUGGGCACGGUGCAUCGGAGAGCUGCCUCGAGCCUCUGCCUCUACUGACCCACACGGUGGGAUUCCUGCUGGUUUGCCAUGUGCCACGUCCAGCCCCUGCUUGGAUCCGAGCCCCAUGACCUUGGGGAGAGCUACGAGGUCAGCGCAGGUCUGGCAUUGCCAGCGGAGGGACCCUGAGUGUCGUCCCCAGUGCCGCAGCGCUCGGCGUCAGCACUGGAAAGGUCUCUGGAAUAUCUGGACAUGCAGGACAGGUAUCAAGACUUUGUCUUUUUUUUCCUUCUUCUCUGCGUGUCUGGUGAUCUGGGGAGCACCAGGAGGAUGCAGGUGGGCUCUUGGACCUGGGGAUGCCACUGGCCCGAGCUGCCUGCACGGGGAGAUGGGUAAAAUAUAAUGCGCUGGCCCGUGGAAAGUUGUGUGGGUCAUAGCCUGCCCACUCUGGGCAGCAUCCAGCGAGGAGCAGCGGGAUGGGAGAGCCCAGGGGUCAGGGCAGCUCAGCAUUGGCCUUCCUCAGCUCUGGGAGGUCCCUGAAAGGGCUUUUGGGCAAGAAAGUGUGAUUUGCUGUUCUUUAGAGUCUGGAUUUCAAUUGUAAAACCCAGAUGUGUUUAUCUCACUGGUUCCAAAUCAGUUUUGGUGCUAGCUACCUCUAAAGUGACAAAUCUCACACUUUUCAUCAGUUUCAAAACACUGUGUCUGUGCGUUGGUUUGUUUAGUGCAUGCAGCUCCAGGCUGUGACAGUGAGAGUCUUGCUGAGUGCCUCCAGGACAAAGAAGUGAGUUCAUAGACUGUGCUUUUACCUGUGACUGGGGAGUUCUGUUGCGGGAAUAUGAAGAGACCCUCUGCAUCAGGCAGAGGGUACAAACUGGCACAUACUCUGUGUGACACCAGUGAAAGGCAGCAGCACAGCCGGACUCUGAAACAUCUUUUGCUUGUUGUUGCUCAGGUUUUGGUGCAGGGUGACCGUACCCCCAGCACCAAGGGGUCACUCUCCCUGUACUGGUCCUUGCUGGCACAGAGAAGUAGCCGAGUCUGAUCUGGAGACAGUGCAGGGCCACUGGGAACAACCAGUGUUUCCUGCUGGAGACCGGGUGCUUU